UAGUGUAGAUGUGAAUCAUCGAAUCUUUGAACGCAUUUUGCACCUCGUGGCUCAUGUCACUUGGUAUACUUGUUUGAGUAUCCAAAACACUCUCACCUCCCCCUAGGGGCGAAGUGGAAUUGAGAGGUCGAUAGUCUUACCAUGGACGGUCGUCUCUUUAAAUGUAGGCCUCUUACGGAAUGUCUCAGCUUGCGGAAACGCAGUGCUGUGAGGCAACUAUUGGGAUAACAUCCUUACGAUAGUGUCGCCUUCACUUGCAUGGCUCUGACAAUCCAGGUCAUCUCAUCGACGUCUCCUUCAUUUCAUGUUGGUAACUGAGAUAAACAUACUUUGUUAAAUGGAUCUCAAAUCAAGUAGGGAUACCCGCUGAACUUAAGCAUAUCAAUAAGCGGAGG
rnacentral:rRNA from 1 species